GCCUGGGUGGCUCAGUUGGUUAAGUGUCCGACUUUGGCUCAGAUCAUGAUCUCACAGUUUGUGGGUUUGAGCCCCAUAUCAGGCU
rnacentral:tRNA from 1 species